AUAGCAUAUAUUAAAGUUGUUGCAGUUAAAAAGCUCGUAGUUGGAUUUCUGGAAGGGUUCCAAUGUCCGCUCGAUAGCGUGUGCAGCGGCGCCCUUCCAUCCUUCUGUUAACGUUUCUUGGUAUUCAGUUACUGGUUUCGGGCUCAGAUAUUUUACCUUGAGAAAAUUAGAGUGUUCCAGGCAGGCUUGCGCCGGAAUACAUUAGCAUGGAAUAAUAGAAUAGGACUUUAGUCUCCUUUGUUGGUUUGAGGGAUUGAAGUAAUGAUUAAUAGGGAUAGUUGGGGGCAUUAGUAUUUAAUUGUCAGAGGUGAAAUUCUCGGAUUUGUUAAAGACUAACUUAUG
rnacentral:rRNA from 1 species